rnacentral:rRNA from 1 species
GUUUAUUUGAAAGUCCCUUACUACAUGGAUAACCGUAGUAAUUCUAGAGCUAAUACAUGCAUCAAGGCCCACACUGCCUCGGCGGACGGGCUGCAUUGAUUAGACCGAAACCAAUGCGUCUUCGGACGGUUUUGUGGUGAAUCAU